rnacentral:lncRNA from 1 species
GAGAAGAAACCGGUCGGAGAUCACUUAGAAUUGAGGACGCAGAAAUAGAGCAUCAGAGAAAGCAACCAGGUCGGAGUCGAUUGUGGAGCGGAGGAAAAUGAAAUCUGAUGAAAAGUGAGCAGAGAAAUUGGAGCAGAGAGAAGCAAACGGAGCGUCGAUUGUGGAGGGGAGGAAAGACAACGGCUAUUAUAUUGGGUAUAUAGCCGGUGCUAGGGUUGACGGGGUGAAAAUUUGAAAUUACAACCUCUCGGCCAACGGUAACAUGGGAUCACGCGGUGGAAACCAACGGUCAGAUGUAUGAUGACAACGGCUAUAACAUUGCCAACGGGAGACCUACCAACGGUCAGAUACCGGAACCGGCACGCGGUUAUCGGCAGCCGUCUGCAAUUUUAGG